rnacentral:lncRNA from 1 species
UCUGGAUUUCAGUUACAGUUAUUUACUCCCAUGUCUAUUUCAGACUAUGAGUGAGCUCAGACUAAUCCAUAGAUAAACUCUUUCUUUGGGUUUGUAAAUAGGUCGGGACCCAAAUCUGUUUAAGUAUCUAAAAAUAAUGUGACUUAGUUUUCAAUAGUAGAUAAAUCGAUCUGAAAUGUGUUGGCGUCUUCCCCUAACCACUCGACUACAUCCUAUAUGACUCAGGUGGAUCCUUUAUGUUUGACAUCUCUCGGAAAAAAAUAUUUGAAGAAUGAUAUAAUAUAUAUUAAAUAAAAUUGAAUCCAAAAAUAAACUUGUUAUAUAUAUAUAUAUAUACACAUAUCUAUGAUUUUAUUGUUAACUUGCUAAGGUGUAUAGGACUGAAUAUGAUAGUGCGUUGGUAGAGUCAAGUGCAUAUACGAAGCGUGAGAGUUUAGUAAUUAUAAUAAAACAUCCUUUUCAUUCUAAAGGUUGUACAGUUUUAGUUUGGGAAAUAAGCAUUUCCUUUCACAGAUGAUAAGCUUUCACUUGCAGUAAAUUGUUGAUAUA